rnacentral:lncRNA from 1 species
GGGGCGGUCGGCGUAUCCGCUCGGGCCGAGGUAGCAUCGGGGGUCAGAGCCGCCUCGCCUUCGACAGCCUGGUCUGCGUCAGCCUCCUCCACGGCGGUGCGAUCUCCCGACGACGUGUCGGCCAUCUCUCCCGCAGCUUGGACCUCCGACUCUGGGGGGACGACGCUGCUGAGAUCGAGCUCCAGAUACAGGCUCUGGACCGCUUCCCGAGCAUCCUCGUACCCC